AGUCAGAAGUUUGAAGCUAUAGCAGAAGUGCUCACAGUGCAGCCCUGUCAGAUUCCAAUUAAUCUGCAAAUUCUGCU
rnacentral:ribozyme from 1 species